GAGUUUGAUCUUGGCUCAGAUUGAACGCUGGCGGCAGGCCUAACACAUGCAAGUCGAGCGGAUGACGGGAGCUUGCUCCUUGAUUCAGCGGCGGACGGGUGAGUAAUGCCUAGGAAUCUGCCUGGUAGUGGGGGACAACGUUUCGAAAGGAACGCUAAUACCGCAUACGUCCUACGGGAGAAAGCAGGGGACCUUCGGGCCUUGCGCUAUCAGAUGAGCCUAGGUCGGAUUAGCUAGUUGGUGGGGUAAUGGCUCACCAAGGCGACGAUCCGUAACUGGUCUGAGAGGAUGAUCAGUCACACUGGAACUGAGACACGGUCCAGACUCCUACGGGAGGCAGCAGUGGGGAAUAUUGGACAAUGGGCGAAAGCCUGAUCCAGCCAUGCCGCGUGUGUGAAGAAGGUCUUCGGAUUGUAAAGCACUUUAAGUUGGGAGGAAGGGCAGUAAGUUAAUACCUUGCUGUUUGACGUUACCGACAGAAUAAGCACCGGCUAACUCUGUGCCAGCCG
rnacentral:rRNA from 1 species